rnacentral:rRNA from 1 species
ACUGCCCUUGGGAGGGGAACAACAGCUGGAAACGGCUGCUAAUACCCCAUAGGCUGAGGAGCAAAAGGAGGAAUCCGCCCAAGGAGGGGCUCGCGUCUGAUUAGUUAGUUGGUGAGGCAAUGGCUUACCAAGGCGACGAUCAGUAGCUGGUCCGAGAGGAUGAUCAGCCACACUGGGACUGAGACACGGCCCAGACUCCUACGGGAGGCAGCAGUGGGGAAUUUUCCGCAAUGGGCGAAAGCCUGACGGAGCAAUGCCGCGUUAAGGCAGAAGGCCCACGGGUCAUGAACUUCUUUUCUCGGAGA